rnacentral:rRNA from 1 species
AAAGGUAGCAUAAUCAAUUGGCUUUUAAUUAGAGUCUGGUAUGAACGAAAAUAUGGGUGGUAGCUGUCUUUAGUAUACUAGCUUGAACUUACUUAGCACGUGCAAAUACUUGCAAACUUCAAAAAGACGAGAAGACCCUAGAAACUUUAAUUAGUUUUUGUUGGGGCGACAGAAUUACAGUUAACUAAUUUUUAAAGACAUGACACUCAGUUGGAAGAAUAAGUUACUCUAGGGAUAACAGCAUAAUUUUAAUAGUUUGUGACCUCGAUGUUGG